GUUGAUUUGGCAUAGUGGUUUGCAUGUUAGACUGUGACUCUGGAAACCAGGGUUCGAUUCCCCGCUUGGCCA